UGGCUGUGUGGCCCUACUUCUGGCAGAGCAC
rnacentral:sRNA from 1 species